UAUUGGUAGUUUUCGUCUGCUUGCAUUUGCCUCACACCCUUAGAUGAGUAACACAAUCUCUCACAUGGAGACAGAACCGGAUAGAGCGAAACGGUGCACAAUAACAAACACAAAUUAUGAGACUUAAACUAAGCAAACAUAAAGGACCUGCUGAAGUGUUGCAUUCAAUCAUUUAUUAUCCCAAAAGCUUAAGAUGCUAGGAAAUAAGUCUCUAACAAAUAUAUGCCAAGUUAUCUAACAGAAACUCUCUCUCCCUUUGAAGCAUAGCCAACACAAGUCUGAAUAAUCCUACACAAGCACGUAUAGUACAGCUCUGCUAAUACAAGAAGUUCUUGAUACUUUUGAGGAAAAUUAAGCAAAUGCAGAGCAUCAAGUGCUGUUUUGAUAUUUUCAUCAUUCUGGGAGUUUUUUUCUCUGAUGGCUUUCUUGUAAUCACGUUUAUAUAUAUAUUUUUUUUCUAGAAAUUGUCUUGCUUUCGUGCUUGCUUAUAUGUGUGUGAAAAUAAAAUACUACGAACACUGACAGGGAAUGCCAGACUCUACAAAGCACACUAAAUAAAGGCGAUAAUCAACUCUGCUAUACUUAUUAUUUAAGCACAUGACAAUAGCAGACCAAGUCUCCACUUGCACAUUUUUAACAACAAGAACAAAAAAAAAAAAAGUGAAGAAAUUAUCACUCAGAAGAUACACCACUUAUUGUGCCUAGAAGUGCAACCAUUCAUGAUUAGAUCUAUGAGAAAAGGUCAACCGCUAUACUUAAGCUAAAGCCUGAUCUACCCUAUCCAUGUGAACCUAGACAUUGUAAAAAUCCAACAAAAAAUCAACUUUGGUAUCAACUCUCUUAUAGAACUACUUUAAUGUCUACCAUUAGUUUCUUCUAGUGAAGUGAAUAUCAUAAUGAAUGAACCAUCAAAUGGCUUGCUGUUUUCUACUCAAUAUUAUCAUAUUGUCCUCUUUUAUUUUGCCUGUUCUUGCUAGUGAAGACAGAGUGAGAGCAGGCGAAUCAAUCAGCAUUAACCAAACCUUAACUUCAGCUGGGGGAAUUUUGCAUUAGGCUUCUUCAAUCCAGGCAAUUUUACGAACAGAUACCUUGGCAUAUGGUACAAAACAAUCUCCGAACAAACAGUGAUAUGGGUAGCUAAUAGAGACAACCUGCUUGCUAAUAAUUCCCACGGUGUUUUUGGGCUUGGUGAUGAUGGGAAUCUUGUGUUUUUCGAUGGAACAAAAAGAGUUGUUUGGUCAUCAAAUGCAACAACUGCCAAUUUGGCCAUGAACUCCACAAUUGCAGUGCUGUUAGAUUCUGGAAACUGUGCUAUGGCAGAGUUUUGAUCAUCCAACUGAUACAUUCAUGCCUGGCAUGAGACUUGGGUUGGAUAGGCAAAUGCGCUGGCAAAGCCUUCUAUACUCAUGGACAGACAAUGCAGAUCCUCAGCCAGGAAUGUUCUCCGAAGGUAUAGAUCCAGAAGGGCGUCCAGGAAUUUUCAUUUGGAAGCAACAUGAUCCAUAUUGGAGAAGCAGUGUGUAUGACUAUAGUUUGUCUUAUGUAGGAUAUAAAUCUCAAGAGUUUGCCUCCUACUUCACUUUCAUUGCAGAAGGUGAUGAAAUUUAUCUAACUUUCAGUGUCUCAGAAAACUUGAUUAAUAUAAGAGCCAUGUUAACUCCUAGAGGGCAAGCUGAGCUGCUGUUAUGGGAGCAAAGUAACAAUUCAUGGGUAUUUUUAUGGCAGGUUCCAUUAGUUAAAUGUGAUUUUUAUGGGUAUUGUGUUCCAUUUAGUAGCUGUGGUGAAAAUGGUUUGCAUAAAUUUUGCCGUUGUUUGGAGGGUUUUGAGCCCAAAGAUCAGAAGGAAUGGAAACUUGGAAAUUGGACAGGAGGCUGAACCAGGAGAAUGGCACGAACAUGUGAUAUAGGAGAUCCGUUUUCUAAGUUAGAAAGGAUGAAAUUACCUGAUUAUUCAAUCUCUCUGGGAAAUAUGACUACUGUUAGUCAAUGUGAAUUAGAAUGUAGUAAGAACUGCACUUGCGCGGCUUAUGCGUAUACUAAUGUGAGCAGUGAAGCAGUGAGCUGUAUGCAUUGGUUUGGGGAUAUCAUGGACCUAAAGGGUAAUGACAUCAAUGGCGAAGAUCUUUAUGUCCGCAUUCAUGACUCUGAUCAAGUUGGUAAUGGUAAGUUGACACAUAAAAGUAGAAGUGUCAUUGCAAUUGCAGCAGCUGCCAUCUCUACUGGAUUGCUUCUUAUUUGCGGCUUUGGCUAUGUCUUGAGGAGAUGGAUGAGAAGCUGAGGGAGGGUAGAUCGAAGUGCACAUGAGCUUGAUGCCAACUCUAAAGCAUCGGUUGAUGAUUCAAAUAAUGGAGAAUUGUUGUCAUUCAGUUUGAGAAGUAUAUUAGCUGCUACUGACAACUUUUCUGAAGCAAACAAACUUGGAGAGGGUGGGUAUGGCCUUGUUUGUAAGAUAACACAUUUCCAUAAUUGUGACAUAUAUUCAAGUACUGGGAGUUGUGAAAAAUUCUUACAUUUCAUCCUUUUUCUUUUCUUUUUUAAAUUCUGGGGUAUUUGCCUGAAGUGCAAGAAGUAGCCAUAAAAAAGCAAUCAAAAACAUCAUUACAAGGAACAGUAAGAGUUUAUGAAUGAGUUGAAAUUUAUUGCCAAACUCCAACCUAAAAAUCUUGUCAGCCUUUUGGGUUACUGUGUUGAACAAGAGGAAAAGACACUGAUCUACAAGUAUAUGUGCAAUGGAAGCCUGGACAAAUUGCUAUUUUGUACACACGUUUACCUCUUUUCUGAAACUUCUGAUAGACAAUUUCUAUAA